UUUCUGAGAAUGGUGUGAGCACACAUAUUCCACACAUUGGGCCCUAUAACACCCAACUUCUCCUGGCCUUCCUAAAUACACUUUACAGAGACCUAAUACCAGAACACCAAAGAGGUUUAGUUAGACCAGAUUUGCCAUAUUAUGUAAUUGUGUGGGAUAAUGGUCAGCUUCCACCGAACCAACAUUGUUAGGAAAUGGUUUGCUGCACAUGAAAGGAUAACAAUGGAGUUCCUUCCCACCAUCCUCCCCUUUCCUGAAUCCAAAAGAAGAGUUUUGUUCAGCAUGGAGGUGGAAAGUAUAUGACUAUCAGGCACAAGAUCAGAUGUCUCUGUUAGAUGCUGUGAAUGCCGUUUGUGAGGACAUCACAGCGAUCAUUGCAGGGGAUGGUUGAGCCACGCAAGGAGAUUUUCCCCCCCGGUGCAUCACAAGGGAAAACAUCAGAUGUGAUGUUGACGAAAGUCUCCGGCCAGACCAACAAGAGCAACAGGAUGUCCACCAAGAAGAUGGGAACUUGUAGUGUUACGUACUGUGAGGAGCUCCUGCUAGGUAUGAUAGGCUCCACUGACGAGGUCCUUCUGGAGGCAGCCGCUGUCUGUGUGGCUAACAUCCGCCGUCUUUGCCCCGGCCAAUAAGAAGGCACGAUGCGGUUAACCAAUCACAACCACAACGACCUCCCCAGCAGCUACUGUGUCCUCAUCAUCACCUCUUAUUGCUGAUUGGAUGUCAUGGGUCCAGGUGUACUCCAGUAGCCUUCCAUCCACAGAGACUUUUCUCACUAUGCCUCUAUCCUUUCCGCCCAUCCCACAGAAUAUAGGUGUGAUUCAAAUCAAAUAUGAUGAGUGAUGCAUGUGUAUUUAUGUCCCUUCUUCCUUCUGCCUCCAUCUGUCAUAGUGGGAAGCUUUUAGUCCAUACUACCCAUGAAUUUAGAUCAUUAUUUCAUUUGGAGGUCAAGCAAACAUAUAGGACCUACAAACAUGUGUGCCCAUGCCAGAUACCCCAUCCCUGUACCUGAGAGUGAAGCGGUUUAGAGCAUGUAUUGUUCAGUCACAUUCCUUACGUAAUAAACAUGAGACACUGAUAUCUAAACAAGA